GAUGAACGCCGGCGGUGUGCCUAAUACAUGCAAGUCGAACGCGUUGGCCCAAUUGAUUGAUGGUGCUUGCACCUGAUUGAUUUUGGUUGCCAACGAGUGGCGGACGGGUGAGUAACACGUAGGUAACCUGCCCAGAAGCGGGGGACAACAUUUGGAAACAGAUGCUAAUACCGCAUAACAGCGUUGUUCGCAUGAACAACGCUUAAAAGAUGGCUUCUCGCUAUCACUUCUGGAUGAACCUGCGGUGCAUUAGCUUGUUGGUGGGGUAACGGCCUACCAAGGCGAUGAUGCAUAGCCGAGUUGAGAGACUGAUCGGCCACAAUGGGACUGAGACACGGCCCAUACUCCUACGGGAGGCAGCAGUAGGGAAUCUUCCACAAUGGGCGCAAGCCUGAUGGAGCAACACCGCGUGAGUGAAGAAGGGUUUCGGCUCGUAAAGCUCUGUUGUUAAAGAAGAACACGUAUGAGAGUAACUGUUCAUACGUUGACGGUAUUUAACCAGAAAGUCACGGCUAACUACGUGCCAGCAGCCGCGGUAAUACGUAGGUGGCAAGCGUUAUCCGGAUUUAUUGGGCGUAAAGAGAGUGCAGGCGGUUUUCUAAGUCUGAUGUGAAAGCCUUCGGCUUAACCGGAGAAGUGCAUCGGAAACUGGAUAAUUUGAGUGCAGAAGAGGGUAGUGGAACUCCAUGUGUAGCGGUGGAAUGCGUAGAUAUAUGGAAGAACACCAGUGGCGAAGGCGGCUACCUGGUCUGCAACUGACGCUGAGACUCGAAAGCAUGGGUAGCGAACAGG
rnacentral:rRNA from 1 species